UCGAUGAAGAACGCAGCGAAAUGCGAUAAGUAGUGUGAAUUGCAGAAUUCAGUGAAUCAUCGAAUCUUUGAACGCACAUUGCGCCUCAUGGUAUCCCAUGGGGCAUGCCUUCCGGAGCGUCGGGAAAACCCCCUUCAAGCAUUUUUUGCUUGGUUGUGGAGGCUGAGCGUUGCCUGCGUGCACGUUUGCCUUCGAAAUUCAUUGGCGGACUGUUUCAUGUUCCAUUUGGCGUUAUAGGAUAACUCUUUCGCUUGGACUUAUGAGGCUGUUCAGCCCAGAAAUAACCCCCAUUAUUCCGGAACGACCUCAAUUAGGUAAGGAUACCCGCUGAACUUAA
rnacentral:rRNA from 1 species